rnacentral:misc_RNA from 1 species
ACAGGGAACUUGGGUUACUGAGGGAGCUGUAAAGGAACAAAGAACUUGGAAAAAUGCUUCUACGUCCUACCCAAAACUUGGAGAUACUUACACGAAGACAAGAAGCUAUAGGUUUCUUCCUUGCUACAGAGAACAUGGAAACCACUACCACGAUCCAGGACUGCUUGAAACAUAUUAAAAAAUAUCCCAAGAAUUUUAGCACACAUGGCUACUGCUCAUGCUACUGUGAACGACUGGAAGACCUUGUACAAGGGUGUUUAUAAUGCUAUGCUGAUUGGUGACCUCUGUUCGACACUUCCUCAGAGAUUAUUCAUCAUUAACAAGAUUACGACAACUUUCACUUCAGACUUGUAUAGAGUGGCUAAUCUGAUUUAUAAAAUAGUGGAUUUUGAAGAAUCCGUAAACCAGGAUCAUUUUGUUGUCAAACCAGGGGUCGAUGAAGAGUUGGAUCGAAAGAAACGGACAUAUAAUGGACUUCCAGAUUUUAUGACGAAAGUUGCUGAACAAGAAUUGUCUCAUCUUAGUGAUGGAAUUAAAGAAUGUCAAGUGAUUUAUCUUCCCCAGCUUGGGUAUUUAUUAGCUGUACCACUUACAGAUGAGAUGUCGGCUUCAAGCAACUAUGUACUUCCUGGACUGGAGUUUGUGUUUAUGUCCAACAAUGUUGCUCAUUAUAAAAGUACAAGCACAAGAGAGCUGGACAGUUUGUUAGGGGAUACUCAGUGUGAGAUUAGAGACCAUGAAACACAGAUAAUGCACAGGCUACAAAAUAUUAUUCUAGAAGUUUCCAAUGUUUUUACAGACAUAGUUACAUACUCUGCCCAGCUGGAUGUACUCAUUUCACUAGCAGUAGUGGCCAAAGAGUUCAAUUACACUAAGCCUGAACUGACCAAUGAAAAUAUCGUCUGCAUCAAAGGAGGAAGACAUCCUCUACAAGAACUUUGUGUCACAACUUUUGUUCCUAACGACACCAAUACUGGACCAUCAAGUGGGAAGAUGGUGAUAAUGACUGGUCCCAAUGCUAGUGGUAAAAGUGUCUACUUGAAACAGAUAGCUCUGAUUGUAUUUAUGGCUCACAUAGGAAGCUUUGUGCCAGCUGAUUCUGCUCGAGUAGGCAUCAUGGACCACAUCCUGUCCCGUAUCCACACUCGGGAAUCGGUCUCUUUGGGCCUGUCCACUUUCAUGAUUGACCUCAAUCAGAUGGCCCAAGCUUUACGAAAAGCAACUUCCCACUCUUUAGUGGUUAUUGAUGAGUUUGGAAAAGGCACAGAAGCAGUGGAUGGUUUAGCUUUGUUGACCUCUAGUCUUCAGUUCUGGUUAAAGAAAGAGCAAGCUUGUCCUCACGUGUUUGUGUCUACUCACUUUCACUCCAUCUUCAACCUUCUGCCUCCUACAUCUUUACUAAAGUAUCAGACCAUGGAAGUGCUACAAGAUCAAGAAAAUUUUGUGUUUUUAUACCAGCUGAAAGAUGGAAAAGCUGAUGGAAGCUGUGCCCAUCACGUAGCUUCUCUUGCAGGAAUACCAAUUAAUCUGAUAGAAAGAGGCAAACAGGUCUGUUUCAGAAUUAUUUAGACAGAACCGGCCCGUACCUCCUGUAAACCAAGAAACUGCCGAUGCUAAACUAAAAAAUUGUGCUGCUGUUGUCUCAGAUUUCCUUCACCUGGAUCUGGAUUCAGCAGAUUUGCAAGGAUUUCUUCAGCAUGUUCUUAAGACUAUGGACAAUGAUAGGGAAGAACCAACAGUAAAUGUAACAACAUGAACUACGU